AAUAGAUACCCAGGUAGUCCACGCCGUAAACGAUGAGUGCUAAGUGUUAGAGGGUUUCCGCCCUUUAGUGCUGAAGUUAACGCAUUAAGCACUCCGCCUGGGGAGUACGGCCGCAAGGCUGAAACUCAAAGGAAUUGACGGGGGGCCCGCACAAGCGGUGGAGCAUGUGGUUUAAUUCGAAGCAACGCGAAGAACCUUACCAGGUCUUGACAUCCUCUGACAACCCUAGAGAUAGGGCUUCUCCUUCGGGAGCAGAGUGACAGGUGGUGCAUGGUUGUCGUCAGCUCGUGUCGUGAGAUGUUGGGUUAAGUCCCGCAACGAGCGCAACCCUUGAUCUUAGUUGCCAUCAUUCAGUUGGGCACUCUAAGGUGACUGCCGGUGACAAACCGGAGGAAGGUGGGGAUGACGUCAAAUCAUCAUGCCCCUUAUGACCUGGGCUACACACGUGCUACAAUGGACGGUACAAAGAGCUGCAAGACCGCGAGGUGGAGCUAAUCUCAUAAAACCCGUUCUCAGUUCGGAUUGUAGG
rnacentral:rRNA from 1 species